UCUUCCAUUUGAGUUUUUGUUUGCUUCAUUAGUUGAAAAUCGAGAUUAAAAAUAUUAGUUUUUUCAUUGUUCAGAAGGAAGCAAAUUUUUUUUAAGAUGAGUUCUAAAAUUUUGUUUGUUUAUGUUCAUUUCGAUAGAGAAAUGAUAAAUACAACUGAAGAAGGCUAUGUAUUUUAAAGUCGGGAAAAAAUAGGAAUAAGAU
rnacentral:lncRNA from 1 species